UUUUACAGUAUUAAAAAGAGGAAUCACUUUAAAUAAGUUGUUUUUGUGUUGUGCUUCUUUUAAAUCUAGCAGUGAGGUACUGUAAUGUGUGAGAAAUGACAUCCGUCACUUUAGGUAAAAUACCUGUUUUGUCAUACAAGAAUGACCUCAUUUUUACCUCUGCUGCACUCAAAGAAAUGAAACUCAGGUGUCAAAUAAGGAAUGUCAAAUAGCAUGUACUUAACUUUAUUGUUUGUUGUAAUUAACAAACAAUAAUGAGCGUAAUUUAUGUUAGCAAGUUAAUUAAGAUGUACAUCAGGCCUAGGAGGGCGUUUCCCACAGGUACCUGCACAUGCUCAGUUAGAACAAGGCUGAAGGCACCAUUUUCUGGACUUGUACUCUGCUGUCCUGCCACAUGUCUCGGAUUUCUUCAUAAUCCACGGCCAUCCAUCAAUAUCCAGAUUUGUAGAGUGUGUUGGUUGACGGAUGCCAGGCCAGCGGCUUAACAUUAGUGGUUAUGAAUGUGGAAAUGCAGAAGCAGUGCUGAAACUCUAUCUACAAGGAUCUUGAUCCCGGUGCAAAGAGAGAAAUGGAACUGAUGAUAGGAGUCUACGUCAUUCGGCAUGAGGGAGCAGCGGACACUGAUCCUCUUGAGGAUGUCGGUACCAUUAUAGAGGGAGUUGAAGUGCUUCAGGGUCUCAGGUGCUAAUUUUGCUAAUGGGUGUGCACUCCUGUUUAGCUUAAUCUACAGCUCAAAUCUAAGCUAUCCAAAAGACCUACGAUACACUUUUGAGUUUGUCCAAAAAAGUAUUGCUGGAUUUGGAUGGAAACAGAAUGUCUGCAUAGGUGCAGGUCUUGAAAAAACAACUGCACGAGUAACUUGCAGUUACAGGAAAAUAAGACCAGAAUAAUACAAAAAAAAAAAAAACAAGAGCAAAAACCAUAAUAAAUGCAGAAUCACUACGAAAGUAAAUAAAGCAAAGUGCAGAUGUGACAUUAUACAAUGGUAGUGUCUGAUGUGGCAGUGAAAAAUGUAAUUAUUCUAGAAAGAAGUGUCAGUUCCUCUCCUGUUUUUAAAUUGAGUCACCAGUGGAGGGCGACAUAAUACAACUACUAUGCUUCAGGCCAAGCUGAAGUAACCAGCUCGAUAAAAUAAUCUAUUAUAUUUUAAAUGAGGCAGUGACAACAGAUAUUCCUUAAACCAAAAUAAUAUGAGCCAACAUCUACACAAAAACAGUGGCUUGCUGGAUGCAGAUGUCCACUGCUGAAAAUUAUAAUUAUCUAGAGUUAAACUAUAAACCAGAAUAUCACUUUUGCUGUCACUGUCUUUUUUUCACCUUAUAAUAGAAAUAACUUAAUUGAAACUUAAAAUUGUACAUUAUUCUGCACCAAAACCCAAAUUCCUUGCAGGUUAUGCCCACUCAGGGAAGAAACACAAGUGACUGCUUUAUUUAACGCAACCAGGAAGUCCACUGAGACAGGAAUCUCUUUCACGAGACCGAACGAAAACUGUUAACAGUUUCAUUUAAAAUACAGAAAACACGUACAUACUGUAUUCACAAUACAGAAUAUAAGAACAACAGUUGGGAUAUAUGGAUUAUAAAUAAUAUCUCGGUAUCUUUAGGCUACUGCUGGUCAGUGCUGAGGAUCAAUCAUUGCUCGUGUGUGUUUUACUGCUGUGAUUCUUUUGGAAUAAAGGCCAAUUUCGACCCCUCUCACCAUCGCCGUUGAUCAUUUUCACUGUAACAUCCAGCUGCUUCAGUGGUCAUUCUAACACCCGGCUGCAAAUAUUCCUAUAUUAUAUAUAUAUAUUAAAACUAUUUAUUUCAUUAAGUUAUUAUUUUUAAGAAUCCAUGUUUACUUUUCCUGAUUCUGUGGUGUCAGUGUUACUCUGAAACACCACCUAAAGUUGCUGUGAAGUUAAAAUGAACACGCACAAAAACCAAAAAAUGCUUGACUACUGCGUGUGAUUUAAACAAAAAUAAUAAUCCAAUAUUUGACAGUUUAAAGGUACAGUGUGUAAAAUGCAGCUGAAUAUAUCUCACCUCACCCUUUCCUUCCAAGUGUGUUGAAGAACCUAUGUCGCCUUCAGUUAGUAUUCAAUCAUAAAAUGGUUUAGUUUAUCCCUUGUGUGUUGUUGUAAGUAUAGUGAUCCAAAAUGGUGGCCUCUGUAGUGCUGACCUGGCUCAUGCAACAACAAAUAUAAGGAAAAUCUGUCUGUCGGUCUGACUUCCUGUUUAUUUUGAGAGCUUGAAAUGGACAUUCAUUCUGAUAUUCUAUGUUCAGAGAAGAGAAAUAUUCACCCACUGUUCAGGACGAUGAGGUGGAGAGACACAAAUAAACACCUGGACAUCAAUGUUUCUAUUUUGUAAAUGUAAAUUCAGGGAAAACUGGACAUCUUAAAAUAGUACAUCCUAAAUCCUCUUUCAGAAAGAGAAAAAGGGCAGUUUCCCACUGUCUCAGUCUCUCUCUGUCUAUCACACGUACACGUACACGUGCGGGCGCACACAGACAUACCAAGGCCUUAUUUUUAAAGAUUAAAGGGGAGUGGACAAUUAUUUCACUUCCUGCUUGCCUCUGCACACUGAAAAAAAGAGAUGAAUACACGAUCGACCACUUUGAUCAAAGUUGUCACACACGCUCACCUGAGGCACAUGUGAAAGUGGAUCAAACUGGAUACUGAGCAGUGGAAGGACAUGGAAGCUGUGUUUGGACUGUUGCUGAUGCUGCUCGGAGUCGCUCACGGUGAGUUUUUUCUGCAUUUCUAUAUCUAUGUUUUGGAGCAAUCCAAUCAUGCGUAAUCAUUACUUCAUUUUUAUUGUUAUUAUUGUUAUUUACUGUUAUUAUUAUAAUUAUUUUUGUUAUGGAAGGUUUUUAUCAUUUACAGUUCUCACAUUUAAUAACCCUGAAUUAAUUUAGCAAGUUACGUUAAAAACAAAUGAGGGUCAUAAUUAUUUAAAUGUUUUAAAAUUAAAUAAUCUAAGAGAGAUGCAUUGUGCAGAAUAUUAGAUAUUUUUUGGCCUCCUGGGAAUAGUAAUCUUCUUCAACUGAAGGAACAAGAUUUUGUUUACAAGAAAAGAUCUUACCAGUCAGACAGUGGUGUACACAGACAAAAGUAAGAGGACAUCUACCACUAGUAUGCUUAAGGCAUGUCCAAUGUGCCUGGUUUUAGGAACCUCCAGCAGCAGUUGGUCAGAAGACCUUAAGUCUCUGGUUGGAGUGUGGUGACGCAGGAGCUCAGAAAGAUACAGCGGGGCCAUACCAUUGAGGGCUUUAAAAACAAUUAGUUUAAAAUCAGUACAAAAAAAGACCGGGAGCCAGUGGAGGGAAGCUAAGACUGGCGUGAUGUGGUCGUGCUUUUAUUGCCGGAGAGAAGUCGAGCAGCAGUGUUUUGAAUGAGCUGAAGGAGAUUGAGAGAGGAAUGGUCCAAGCCAACGUACAGGGAGUUACAAUCAUCUAAUCUAGAUGUAAUAAAGGCAUGGAUAACCUUUUCAAGGUCCAUCUGAGAAAGAUAGGCUUAGCUUGUAAGCUUGUUUUCACAAC